UUCGAAGUCAAAACGAUAUUAGUAAAACUGAAACGACAUUUAACAUUUCAGUCAAUUAAAAUAUUUAAUUAUCAAAAUAAUAAUAAUAGAUGAAAAGUCGCUAUUAAAAGCGCUGGAGAUCGAAAAAGAUAGCAAUUCGACCGUGUUUGGUUUAUAUAAAAAGUUAUGACACAUUAUCAUGAUUUGUCACAACCAUUGAGAGAAUAUAUAAAAUUAAAAUCCAAAAUCCAUCAUUGCAACAUCUGAGUGUUCGUACCAUUAACUUAAAUAAUCAGAUCUAACCUCAAUUUUAAUUACUCUGCUAUCUAUCAAUCAACAAAAGAAAAAAGGUAAAAUAAAAAAGAUUCUUCUUUUUUUUUUUUUUUUUUUUCUAAUUUUUGUUUUAAUAAAUUAAACUAGAGAGAAAGAUUGAGGUCUAAUUCUUUAUUUCCAUUUCCUUCAUCACUUUCUUGUUUGUUUCUCACCGUCGUAGAAGGACCUGUUUCCGCUGCAAUCUCCAUCGCCGCCGGCCGCGGGGGCGGCGGUGGCGGCGGGACAUCCACGAAGUCUUCGAGUCUGAAUGUGGGAUUCCAAGGCUCCGCCGCCGGCUGGGGCUUGUCUCCGGUGGUCUUUUCUUUUCCGGCGACGAUACGCUCGCGCAAUUCUCGGGUGCUUUUAAUCAAAGCGAAGAAUUUCUCCAUCUUCUCCUCUUCGUUUUCUUCAUCGUCAUCUUCCAUUUUUCUUUUCUUUUUAUCUCCGUCCAUAACUCUAAACGAGGGGGUGGGGGGGUGGGGUGGUAAAGCGGUGGGGUUGGUGGUUAUUGAUGACUCUGAGAGAAGAUUAUUGCUAUGUGUGGAAGGUUAUAUAGAUGGG
rnacentral:lncRNA from 1 species